GCUCAUUUAUCCUCAGUCAGUAGAUCAUGAGGCGCUUAAUCUCAGCGUCGUGGGUUCGAGCCCCACGUUGGGCA